AGCAGCCAUACCUUUUCUAUUUGUCUUCUCUCUCUUGUCCCCUGCGCCUCCAGACUCCCUCCUUGUCCAUACCUCAAAUUUCUCCAUUCUUCUCCAUUUUCUCCCUCUGUUUCUCGAUCUUCUCACUCCAGGGCAGCGGCAGCACCACCACCACAAUCAGUUGCAACAACUGCAACAACACCACUUCUACCAGCUGUGGUGGUCUUGCCGCCCAACACAGCCAACAAGUAUGCAGCGACCACCUUCAUCUAUGCUUAAGAUGGCUCUGGAUCUGCGGAGUGUGGAGAGAAAGGGUAAAUUUGCAGCCGAAUGCGGAAAAAAGAAAUGUGCUUCAAGCUCCAGUCUCUCAAAACCCUAUCCUUCACUCUCUGCAUCGUGACCUGCCAAGCAUCCUGCAUGCAACUCUAUUUAGACCAUCUUCAUCAUCAUGUCCCUUGCACCGUGUCUCUCCCUCUCCGUCGCAGUGAGGUCGAGGAACUCAGAGAAGGGACCUCCGACGGAUUUCUCCAUUUCUUCCGACUAGGUAAGUUCAAUUACCUUUUUAAUUUACCAUGUUGGUUUCUGGACGUUGUAUGAUGAAAACCAUGUUGUUCUUCCAAGGUUUGAGGACGGGAACGGCACGGGGGAAACUCACCCAUAUUGUCCGGCGAACCCGUGACUUUCGAGGAUUCUUUCCGAGCUCUCACGGCCGUACACGGCGAAGCUAGGGUGAAGUUGCUAGUGAAGAAAUUCUUAAUCCUUAUCUGCACAACUCUACUGCUAAGGAGUACUUGACUUAGGAUCAAGGCACCUAAUCCCGGCGACAAGACACUUCUGCAGCAGCAUCUUUGAAUCCUCUCGAUGUAGGACCCACUUCUUUAUUCAUUCAAUUUCAUCUUAAUUCUUCUUAGUGAUUAGGUUUAGUUGUAUAUUCUGAGCACGUUCCUAAAAUUUUUAAUUCAUUGUAUUCUAAA